CAGUUUACAUUUGGUUAUUGGCUGUUGGUGGAGUGGAGCAGAGGGAGCCAAUCAGAAGCCAGCGCUCGGAGACAAAGGGGUUGGUUUCCAUUCGGUUGUUGGCUGUUGGUGGAGUGGAGCUGAGGGAGACGCGUCACAGCCUGGGAGGUGCCCAUUGACACUCAGACCGAAGACCCGUUCCAGGAUGGACGUGCUGAGAAGCAUCUGUCACCUAAAAAGAAGGGCUGGCGUGUC